rnacentral:rRNA from 1 species
GACGUAGGGGCGCGAGCGUUGUCCGGAUUUAUUGGGCGUAAAGAGCUCGUAGGCGGCUUGUCGCGUCGUCCGUGAAAAACUUGGGGGCUCAACCCCAAGCUUGCGGGCGAUACGGGCAGACUUGAGUACUGCAGGGGGAGACUGGAAUUCCUGGUGUAGCGGUGAAAUGCGCAGAUAUCAGGAGGAACACCGGUGGCGAAGGCGGGUCUCUGGGCAGUAACUGACGCUGAGGAGCGAAAGCGUGGGUAGCAAACAGG